rnacentral:rRNA from 1 species
GAUCCUGGCUUAGGACGAACGCUGGCGGCGUGCUUAACACAUGCAAGUCGAGCGAUGAAGCUUCUCGGAAGUGGAUUAGCGGCGGACGGGUGAGUAACACGUGGGUAACCUGCCUCAUAGAGGGGAAUAGCCUUUCGAAAGGAAGAUUAAUACCGCAUAAGAUUGUAGUGCCGCAUGGUACAGCAAUUAAAGGAGUAAUCCGCUAUGAGAUGGACCCGCGUCGCAUUAGCUAGUUGGUGAGGUAACGGCUCACCAAGGCGACGAUGCGUAGCCGACCUGAGAGGGUGAUCGGCCACAUUGGGACUGAGACACGGCCCAGACUCCUACGGGAGGCAGCAGUGGGGAAUAUUGCACAAUGGGGGAAACCCUGAUGCAAGCAACGCCGCGUGAGUGAUGACGGUCUUCGGAUUGUAAAGCUCUGUCUUUAGGGACGAUAAUGACGGUACCUAAGGAGGAAGCCACGGCUAACUACGUGCCAGCCGCAGC